GGGGCCCGCACAAGCGGUGGAGCAUGUGGUUUAAUUCGACGAUACGCGAAGAACCUACCCGGGUUUUGACAUUGUAUCGAAGCAUCCAGAGAUGGAUGUGCUCUUUCGGAGACGGUAUGACAGGUGCUGCAUGGCUGUCGUCAGCUCGUGCCGUGAGGUGUUGGGUUAAGUCCCGCAACGAGCGCAACCCUUGUGUUUAGUUGCAAACAGGUCAAGCUGUGCACUCUAGACAGACUGCCGUGGACAACACGGAGGAAGGUGGGGAUGACGUCAAAUCAUCAUGCCCCUUAUGAUCUGGGCUACACACGUGCUACAAUGGUCGGUACAACGGGCAGCGAAGGAGCGAUCCGGAGCGAAUCCUAAAAAGCCGGUCCCAGUUCGGAUUGCAGGCUGAAACUCGCCUACAUGAAGUUGGAGUUGCUAGUAAUCGCGAAUCAGAAUGUCGCGGUGAAUGCGUUCCCGGGUCUU
rnacentral:rRNA from 1 species